AACGAACGCUGGCGGCGUGCCUAACACAUGCAAGUCGUGCGAGAAAGUUCCUUCGGGAGCGAGUAAAGCGGCGCACGGGUGAGUAACACGUAGGUAACCUGCCCCCCAGUCUGGAACAACUAGAGGAAACUACUAGCUAAUGCCGGAUGAGACCACGAUCCCUUCCGGGGGUUGGCGGCCAAAGAUGGCCUCUACUUGUAAGCUAUCGCUGAGGGAUGGGCCGUGCGGGCCAUUAGCUUGUUGGUGAGGUAACGGCUCACCAAGGCUGUGAUGGCUAGCUGGUCUGAGAGGAUGACCAGCCACACUGGGGACUGAGACACGGCCCAGACUCCUACGGGAGGCAGCAGUGGGGGAAUAUUGCGCAAUGGGCGAAAGCCUGACGCAGCGACGCCGCGUGGGU
rnacentral:rRNA from 1 species